AAUGAACGCUGGCGGCGCGCCUAAUACAUGCAAGUCGAGCGAGAAGACGUAGCAAUACGUUUGUAAAGCGGCGAACGGGUGAGGAAUACAUGGGUAACCUACCCUCGAGUGGGGAAGUAACUAGCCGAAAGGUUAGCUAAUACCGCGUACGCUUCUUGGACUUCGGUUCAGGGAGGAAAGCGAUGCCGAGGGUAUCGCGCUCUUGGAUGGGCUCAUGUCCUAUCAGCUUGUUGGGAGGUAACGGCUCACCAAGGCUUCGACGGGUAGCUGGUCUGAGAGGACGAUCAGCCACACUGGCACUGCGACACGGGCCAGACUCCUACGGGAGGCAGCAGUAAGGAAUAUUGCGCAAUGGGCGAAAGCCUGACGCAGCGACGCCGCGUGGGGGAGU
rnacentral:rRNA from 1 species